rnacentral:lncRNA from 1 species
AUUUAUACCCAAACACCACUCUUAAGGGGUGGGGUUAGUAAACCCCACCCCAAACCGGGUUAGUGGGGUUUACUAACCCCACUCCCCCUCCCAACUUUAACCUUGCACGCAUCCCGAGCCCUCACCUUUUUCUUCUUUAUCAAUCAUUAACCCCACUCCCCCUCCCAAUUUUAACCCCGCACGUAUCCCGAGCCCUCACCUUUUUCUUCUUUAUCAAUCAUUAUCUUCUUAUCCCACCUACUCCAACCAAACACUUUUUUUCACUAUUCUAGACUAACUCCAACCUCCAACCAAACACAAAAAAAGUUUAACACCAUUUUAACCCUGAACUUAACCCUAUUCCUGGAAUAGCUAUUUUUUCUUAACCCCGAACCAAACGGUAGCUAAACAGUUACCUAUUUUUGAC